CCGCGGCGAGGGGCGCCCAGCGCAGCUCGAAAGAAGCGGAGCGGCCCCCGCGGGCGGACCCGCCGCUGCGGCCGCCUCCUCGGGGAGCCCCGGCUGCGGCCGGCAGGGCGGGAGCGACCUUCCCCUUUGCUCUCCGCCUCUCUCUUCCCACCCACGGUAAACUUUCCAGAGUUAACUUUGUCCCUCUGACUCCGUGGCUCCGGCUCCUCCUCCUCCGGCACAGGGUUCCCACCACAGUUCCCUGGCGAGUCUGUGCUGGGUGAGUGCUGGUUGUUUCCCGGAGUUCACCGAGAACGAGUGGAUUGAGGAGGCAGGCACAGGUCCUCCUGAUAAUGGAUGUUUCCAGGAUCUGGAUAACAGCCUCCCUGAAAAAGAGCAUGCUGCUCUUAGCAGGUGGCAUUGUUUGUUUGAAUGAAGACCAUCUGAAGAGGAACAACAGGAAUGUUGCAAGACAGAGUUCAGAAGAACUGGAUAGAGCAAGGAGUAUUUGGGUUAGCUGUCUGCUCUCUGUCUGGAAUAGCUCUGUGAACCCCAUAUCCUGGACUCUGGGGUAUAGGAUUGGUGUCCCUGUAGUAUUACUUGUCUGUCUACUGUAUCUAACUUUGCAGUCUGGGGCUCUACAAAACGCUUUGGUGAUACACUGUAGAAACAAACAAAAGAUACUUUUCUUUGUCCAAUAUUAUGCUACUGAAAUAGCUUUUUUGGUAACUUUUUGAAGCUCUGAGAUUAAAUAUAUAACGGCAUUUCCUCAGGAUUUUUGGCCACUUGCACAUAGCCUCAGUGGUCACAAAUUCCUCAGGAAAUGUGUGUGCUUAUAAGGUCAUUGAAAACAGUUUGGGUUUUGCCUUUUAUAACAAACUUUUGACUUUAGCAGGUAAAGAAAUAGGGGAAAUAUCUCAGCUUUUUUUUUUCUGCACAUGGCAUUCAAAACAAGUAACUGCUGCUAAUAUGCAAAAACUUCCACUAUGUUUCCACAUUUUCUAGCUAACAUUAGAAUGAAAUUUACAGCUGAAUUUGACACAGAGAAGCAUUUAUAACUUCUAGGCUAAAGUGCUCAAAAUGUUGCUCUGAAAGUAACUGUGGGGUUUUAAUGUCAACUCUUAACACUGUUGGUGAGAGAAGUGCUUUCUAUUCUAGUUGGUUGCACUUCUCUUGGCCUAGUAAAGAACUUUGUGUGCAAAACACAUAUGGUGCUUUGUUACAGAGACAAUCCAAUACAGUUUGAGCUAGGUCACUCUUACUCACUAAAAUCAACUGCAUUUCCUCAAAAAUAACUGAAGAGCAUGAGAAACAUGAGUGAUAAAUUAAUAUGGCUUUGUUUAGAUUUUGACAAAGAACAUUUGACCUUGCCAUGAGUGUAAGAGGAGAGAUGCAGGGACAUUUUCUUUGCUUCAGUUAGUGACAGUAUUUUUAAAUUUCUGCUCCUGUUUACAUCCUUUCCCGACAAGCUUCCCUUAUUCCUUGCCAUUUCGGUUUGUGAUCCUUAUAAUAGGAAAAAGAAACUUUUAAU